UGCCAGCAGCCGCGGUAAUACGGAGGGGGCUAGCGUUGUUCGGAAUUAUUGGGCGUAAAGGGCGCGUAGGCGGCCCGGCAAGUCAGUCGUGAAAGCCCUCGGCUCAACCGAGGAAUUGCGAUUGAAACUGCCGGACUUGAGUUCUGGAGAGGGUAGCGGAAUUCCCAGUGUAGCGGUGAAAUGCGUAGAUAUCAGGAGGAACACCGAUGGCGAAGGCAUCCCUCUGGGCCGAUAUUGACGCUGAGGCGCGAAGGCGUGGGUAGCGAACGGGAUUAGAUA
rnacentral:rRNA from 1 species